rnacentral:rRNA from 1 species
AUUGUGCACGCCCUACCUUUUUUGUUUUUCCACCUGUGCACACACUGUAGGUCUGGAGGGGAAGGGAGGCAACUCCCUGACGUUUCAGGUCCUAUGUCUUUACACAUACACUAUUAAAAGUAACAGAACGAUUCAAUGGGCUCUAAGCCUAUAAACUAUAUACAACUUUCAGCAACGGAUCUCUUGGCUCUCGCAUCGAUGAAGAACGCAGCGAAAUGCGAUAAGUAAUGUGAAUUGCAGAAUUCAGUGAAUCAUCGAAUCUUUGAACGCACCUUGCGCUCGUUGGUAUUCCGACGAGCAUGCCUGUUUGAGUGUCAUUAAAUUCUCAACCUCAUCGCUUUUGUGAUGAUGGCUUGGAAGUGGAGGUUUUUUGCAGGCUGAAAAGUCUGCUCCUCUCAAAUGAAUUAGUGGGUGCCCCGCGCAAACCUAUCUAUUGGUGUGAUAAUUAUCUACGCCGUGGAUCCUUAGGAUUGCUGUAAAAAGGUGUUUGCCCUGCUUCUAACCGUCUUUGGACAACUUGAACCAUUUGACCUCAAAUCAGGUAGGACUACCCGCUGAACUUAAGCAUAUCAAUAAGCGGAGGAAAAGAAACUAACAAGGAUUCCCCUAGUAACUGCGAGUGAAGCGGGAAAAGCUCAAAUUUAAAAUCUGGCAGUCUUUGAUUGUCCGAGUUGUAAUCUAGAGAAGCAUUAUCCGCGCUGGACCGUG